UACAGAGGUCUCAAGCGUUGUUCGGCUUCAUUGGGCGUAAAGGGUGCGUAGGCGGCGCGGUAAGUCGGGUGUGAAAUCUUGGAGCUUAACUCCGAAACUGCAUUCGAUACUGCCGUGCUUGAGGACUGGAGAGGAGACUGGAAUUUACGGUGUAGCGGUGAAAUGCGCGGAUAUCGGGAGGAACACCGGUGGCGAAGGCGGUUCUCUGGGCCUGACCUGACGCUGAAGAGCGAAAGCGUGGGGAGCGAACAGG
rnacentral:rRNA from 1 species